rnacentral:rRNA from 1 species
UACGGAGGGUGCGAGCGUUGUCCGGAAUCACUGGGCGUAAAGGGCGCGUAGGCGGCUUCUUAAGCGUGUGGUGAAAGCUCAGGGCUCAACUCUGAGUCGGCCAUGCGAACUGGGAGGCUUGAGCACUGUAGAGGCAGGUGGAAUUCCGGGUGUAGCGGUGGAAUGCGUAGAGAUCCGGAAGAACACCGGUGGCGAAGGCGGCCUGCUGGGCAGUAGCUGACGCUGAGGCGCGACAGCGUGGGGAGCAAACAGG